rnacentral:rRNA from 1 species
AUUGAACGCUGGCGGCAUGCUUUACACAUGCAAGUCGAACGGCAGCACGAAAGAGCUUGCUCUUUUGGUGGCGAGUGGCGAACGGGUGAGUAAUGCAUCGGAACGUACCGAGUAAUGGGGGAUAACUGUCCGAAAGGAUAGCUAAUACCGCAUACGCUUUGAUAAGGAAAGUGGGGGCUCUUCGGACCUCACGUUAUUCGAGCGGCCGAUGUCUGAUUAGCUAGUUGGUGGGGUAAAGGCCUACCAAGGCGACGAUCAGUAGCGGGUCUGAGAGGAUGAUCCGCCACACUGGGACUGAGACACGGCCCAGACUCCUACGGGAGGCAGCGGUGGGGAAUGUUGGACAAUGGGCGCAAGCCUGAUCCAGCCAUGCCGCGUGUGUGAAGAAGGCCUUCGGGUUGUAAAGGACUUUUGUUAGGGAAGAAAAGGAUAGUGUUAAUACCAUUAUCUGCUGACGGUACCUAAAGAAUAAGCACCGGCUAACUACGUG